rnacentral:lncRNA from 1 species
GUAGCAUUGUCACCAUCCUCACUGCCGUUGCUGCCGAUGCCUCUACUCUUUGCUCUGCCCUGCCUCCACUCCACGUGCUCUCUCACUACUCUCUCACUCCCUCUCCCUUGGCUCUCUCACUCCCUCCCCCCUGCUCUCUCACUCUCUCUCUCAUCGGUAGCCAUUGUCACCAUCCCCACCACCACUGCCAUCGCCAUCGCCACCGAUGCCUCUACUCUCCCUUUGCUCUACUUUGCCUCCACACCACGUGCCACCUC